rnacentral:rRNA from 1 species
ANACNUGCAAGUCGAGCGAACAGAUAAGGAGCUUGCUCCUUUGACGUUAGCGGCGGACGGGUGAGUAACACGUGGGUAACCUACCUAUAAGACUGGGAUAACUUCGGGAAACCGGAGCUAAUACCGGAUAACAUUUGGAACCGCAUGGUUCUAAAGUGAAAGAUGGUUUUGCUAUCACUUAUAGAUGGACCCGCGCCGUAUUAGCUAGUUGGUAAGGUAACGGCUUACCAAGGCGACGAUACGUAGCCGACCUGAGAGGGUGAUCGGCCACACUGGAACUGAGACACGGUCCAGACUCCUACGGGAGGCAGCAGUAGGGAAUCUUCCGCAAUGGGCGAAAGCCUGACGGAGCAACGCCGCGUGAGUGAUGAAGGGUUUCGGCUCGUAAAACUCUGUUAUUAGGGAAGAACAAAUGUGUAAGUAACUGUGCACGUCUUGACGGUACCUAAUCAGAAAGCCACGGCUAACUACGUGCCAGCAGCCGCGGUAAUACGUAGGUGGCAAGCGUUAUCCGGAAUUAUUGGGCGUAAAGCGCGCGUAGGCGGUUUCUUAAGUCUGAUGUGAAAGCCCACGGCUCAACCGUGGAGGGUCAUUGGAAACUGGGAAACUUGAGUGCAGAAGAGGAAAGUGGAAUUCCAUGUGUAGCGGUGAAAUGCGCAGAGAUAUGGAGGAACACCAGUGGCGAAGGCGACUUUCUGGUCUGUAACUGACGCUGAUGUGCGAAAGCGUGGGGAUCAAACAGGAUUAGAUACCCUGGUAGUCCACGCCGUAAACGAUGAGUGCUAAGUGUUAGGGGGUUUCCGCCCCUUANUGCUGCAGCUAACGCAUUAAGCACUCCGCCUGGGGGAGUACGANCGCNAGGNUGNAAACUCNNNGGANUUGACGGGGGACCCGCACNANCGGUGGANCAUGGUNGGUUUAANUUCGAA